CCUACGGGAGGCAGCAGUGGGGAAUAUUGGACAAUGGGCGAAAGCCUGAUCCAGCCAUGCCGCGUGUGUGAAGAAGGCCUUCGGGUUGUAAAGCACUUUCAGUGGGGAAGAAAGCCUUGGGGCUAAUACCCUCGAGGAAGGACAUCACCCACAGAAGAAGCACCGGCUAACUCCGUGCCAGCAGCCGCGGUAAUACGGAGGGUGCGAGCGUUAAUCGGAAUUACUGGGCGUAAAGCGCGCGUAGGCGGUCUGAUAAGCCGGUUGUGAAAGCCCCGGGCUCAACCUGGGAACGGCAUCCGGAACUGUCAGGCUAGAGUGCAGGAGAGGAAGGUAGAAUUCCCGGUGUAGCGGUGAAAUGCGUAGAGAUCGGGAGGAAUACCAGUGGCGAUGGCGGCCUUCUGGACUGACACUGACGCUGAGGUGCGAAAGCGUGGGUAGCAAACAGGAUUAGAUACCCGUGUAGUC
rnacentral:rRNA from 1 species